rnacentral:rRNA from 1 species
AAAAACAUGUCCUUUUGGUUUUAUUUAAGGUCUAACCUGCCCAAUGAUUGUAUUUAAUGGCCGCGGUAUUUUAACUGUGCUAAGGUAGCAUAAUCAUUUGUCUUUUAAUUGAAGGCUGGUAUGAAUGGUUGGACGAGGCAUAAUCUUUCUUUAUUUUAAUUUAUGAAUUUAAUUUUUUAGUUAAAAGGCUAAAAUUUUUUUGUUGGACGAGAAGACCCUAUAGAUCUUUAUAUUUAUGUUUAGUUGAUUAAUUUGGUUAAUUUAUUAUUUAGAUUAAAAUAAGUAUUUGGUUGGGGUGACUGUGGAAUUUUAAUAACUUCUAUUUGUUUUUUUCAUUUAUUUAUGUUUCUUUGAUCCAUUGAUAGUGAUUAUAAGAUUAAGUUACCUUAGGGAUAACAGCGUAAUUUCUUUGGAGAGUUCAUAUCGAUAAAGAAGUUUGCGACCUCGAUGUUGGAUUAAAAUAAGUGAUGGAUGUAGUAGUUUAUUAACUAGGUCUGUUCGACC